rnacentral:rRNA from 1 species
CGUCUAUAUACGUAUAGCAUAUCAAUAAGCGGAGGAAAAGAAACUAACAAGGAUUCCCUUAGUAACGGCGAGUGAAGCGGGAAGAGCUCAAAUUUGAAAUCUUCAAGGUUCUACCUUGACGAAUUGUAGUUUAAAGAAGUGUUUUCUGUUAGAGGAGUAGGCAAAAGUUCCUUGGAAUGGGACAUCAUAGAGGGUGAGAAUCCCGUAUUUGGUUAUUCUUUCUAGCUUUGUGAUACACUUUCAAAGAGUCGGAUUGUUUGGGAAUGCAGUCCAAAAUGGGUGGUAAAUUUCAUCUAAAGCUAAAUAUUGGCGAGAGACCGAUAGCGAACAAGUACCGUGAGGGAAAGAUGAAAAGAACUUUGGAAAAGAGAGUUAAACAGUACGUGAAAUUGUCAAAAGGGAAGCGUUUGACACCAGUGUUGUUUUUCCGAAAAUCAAUUAAGAGUGGCUUGAUUUUGUGUUGUAUUGACCUUAUCAGCUUUCUUCACUCUUUUUCGAGUCUUUCUUAAUGCACUUUUCGGUUAACAAGUCAACAUCAAUUUCUUUUGUUGUAAAAGGGUAUUUGGAAGGUGGCUUUCUUUUCGGAGAAAGUGUUUAUAGCCUUAUACCUCUACAAUCGGAGAGAUUGAGGUCUGCAGCGUAGAUCCUUCGGGGCUAGAUACACUUGUGCUAAGUUAUAGCUUUUCAUAGACAACUUGUUGACUAUGUUUAGUCAUGUAGCUUACCCGCUUGUGCUAUUUUACCUACGCUUAGGAUGUUGAGUCAUCACACAUCUCU